UGGCCACAUACUCGCGAGAGGGAGCUAAUCCGAUAAAGUCGUUCUCAGUUCAGGAUUGUAGGCUGCAACUCGCCUACAUGAAGCCGGAAUCGCUAGUAAUCGCGGAUCAGCAUGCUGCGGUGAAUACGUUCCCGGGCCUUGUACACACCGCCCGUCACACCACGAGAGUUUGUACACCCGAAGUCGGUGGGGUAACCUUUAUGGAGCCAGCCGCCGAAGGUGGAUAGAUGAUUGGGGUGAAGUCGUACAAUGUAACACGUACGGGCC
rnacentral:rRNA from 1 species